rnacentral:misc_RNA from 1 species
GAUGAAGAACGCAGCGAAAUGCGAUAAGUAAUGUGAAUUGCAGAAUUCAGGGAAUCAUCGAAUCUUUGAACGCACAUUGCGCCCCUUGGUAUUCCGAGGGGCAUGCCUGUUCGAGCGUCAUUAUAACCCCUCAAGCUCAGCUUGGUGUUGGGGCCUGCUGCACUGGCAGCCCUUAAAAUCAGUGGCGGCGCCAUCUGGCUCUAAGCGUAGUAAUUCUUCUCGCUAUGGAGUCCUGGUGGAUGCUUGCCAUCAACCCCCAAUUUUUCUAUGGUUGACCUCGGAUCAGGUAGGGAUACCCGCUGAACUUAAGCAUAUCAAUAAGCGGAGGA